CUUUUUGUAGGUUAUGCAUAUAGAAAAGCGUGUGUAAGUCAUGUAUUUGAUACAUGCAUUGAUACUUUUUGAUGGGAACAUACACUUAGAUCUGUGAACGUUUUUAGUGUUCAGUCUUUUUUUUAUUCAGUACUGAUCUGUACCUAUAUGCUCAAUAUGUAUUGGGUUUUUUUUUUUUGGAUGCGAAUAUAAAUCUGUUGUCUAAACGUUUACUGAUUGAAUAAUAUAUUACACCACAAUAUAACAAUAUUAUAAGUUGUUAACUUUGUUGGUAAAAUGACACAUUGCUUUACUUUAUACCUUAUUUCUUUAGAUGACCUACAUAAUUAACAACAUCAUUUCAGAGUUAAUUUGACUGGCCCCUCUAAAACAGCCAGCCCCAUUCUGACUCCUGUGAUUUAAAUGGGCUAGAAUGGCCACUGAUGCUUUCAGAUUGGCUUGACCAAUCCGGAAGUGGGCCGGCUUACAUUGUGAUCGGAUCUCAGUCAGUUGUAAAAGCAAUCUGUUCUCCAAAAAACAAAACACCUUUCAUAUAUGGGAUGAGUUCUGCCUCUUUCACUUAGCUCUGCAAUUUCCCAUCUGUCACACAGGCUAUUGUAAUGUCUGUCAAAAUACAACUACUAUGUGAUUAAAGCAAUGUCUGACUCAGUCACGUAUCAGUGAAUGUAAUCCAGGGUUUUGCAGAAACAUUACUAGUGAAGUUGUGCUUUGAGUUCAUUAACCACCUGUAGUUGUCAUAACAGCAGGAUCGAUUUUGUUUUUCUCCAAACUGAGAGGUGCUGUGUGCAGUUUCUGUGUUCUGUUCACAAUACAGUCAGAUAGGAUCAAUAAUCACAAUGCGGUCAGACAGGAUCAGUAAACACAUUAUAGCCCUCCUCAUUCUUGUCUCUCUUGUGAUUAGUGGAGGUUUGUCCACAUCUUUGCUGAGCAGCAGAGCUGAUGAAGGUACAGCAGAGUUAGAGCUGCUCUUUGACCCCGGACUCCUCAAACAGCAUGUUAGCCUUACUGAUGAUUACGGUGAGAGGCCCCUCCCUCCUCCUCUGCCACCCGACACUGAAGAUCCGUAUCAACCCAACCUGGAGGGUGAAUACUACUAACAUAAACACUAAACUGAUCUGCCCUGCAUGGAUGAUCACCUUCAGCAAAACCAACAGCAUGUUCAAAUAAAAACAUGAAAAAACAA